rnacentral:misc_RNA from 1 species
GAAGACAACCACCAGAAAGAAAAUAAUGCGAAAAUGGGAAACAAAAACAACAACAGCAAGAGACGAAGAACAACAAAGUUUAGAGAGGAAGAGGACAAAGGGUAAGCGGAAGGAGAGGAAUGUGAAGCAGAAGCGUACGUCUAAACAGCAAUCUACCUGUUAACUGUUUCCAAGCGCUACCAUUCAGCAUGGGGAACUCGUGACCAAGGAUGGAACUGAGUGAUACAGAAUGAUGUCUUUGUGCUGCCAUAAAUCGAACAUGGAGGUUCGUGGUGAUGCAAGGCUUAAAUGUUCAGGGCUGCUUCUGCCCAUCUUACCAGGAGUUUUAACCCUUUUUACUCCAUGAAAACCGACUGGCUGAGACACAAACCUGCGUUGGAUAUGAGGAAUGAUGAUUCACCAUUCGGUGAAUUCGAUUAGUAACACUAGCAGAGCCAGAUGUCGAGAAGGCAUCGUGAUAGAAGCUACAGCGCUAGAUUUUAGAGGGUGAGCGAGGCUGGUGUAACGGCGCCUUAUCCGGAAUCUUUGCACGUUACGUAUAACUGGUUGCGAUGGCGAAAAUGCAGCAGCACUAGUUUUGAAGAUCGUGAUACCUUCCCAAGUGAAAACAAUUACUCGUUGAACAGAAAACACUAAGAAUACUGGGUAUAGAUGCUACGACGAAGAAGACAAAACUUACAAGAAUUUCUUCUCAUUGUUUAUGCAAUUAUGUUAGCAGAAAACAAAUGCAUUCCAUCUAAUUUCGGUUUAGGAUUUUACGCUUUGUUUGGGCUGUCUAUAAACACUCACUAGGGAUUUUGUUGAUCGAUGAAAACUGAGUCUAUCGCACUUUUGUUAUCAUUAUUUCCAGUUUUUUCUUAAUGUCGCUGAUUUUUGAUUGUCAAUAAAAAUA